GCCCACCACAGAGCCCAAGCUUGUGUCGCUCAUUGAAAAGCACGAUGGAUACUUUCUCAGUUGACUGACAAAGCAAAACAGGAGCAACACAUUCGGACCAGCGGAGAAGGCAAUGUGACAAUACUUGUUUAAGUUGUGAUUUAAGAGGCAUCAGAACUGAUUUGCCAUUUUCAACACUACUCAAGAACCAAAAGACAGAUGGAGAUGAGUGCAAUCCCUCCAAAUACCCCAAAACACAGUGCAGAAGAGGAAGAAGAUGCACUGGCACCUCAGGUACUGGAGAUUCUCAGUGGGAUCAGCAUUGAAGCCUUUAAGACCCUGAAGCAACCUGAAGAUAGAGAUGUGUGGUCCCUGGAAGAGGGAGAUGACUCGGUGUUUUACAGUGAUGAGGAGCAAGCUCAGCUGAACAUCGUUACUGCAUCUACUGCAUCAACCGGCAUCAAGUGCCGACAUCUUGCAAACACUGUGGCAGAUGAACCUAGCCCUCGGAGAGAGGUAAAGGCAGGGGAAGAACAUGAAGCCGAUAUUGCCAAAGAAAAUUUAGACAUGGGAAGGGAAAUGACCCAUCAGAUCACUUGGACUCAAGAACCCCAAAAGUUUCAUACGGCCAAAGCUAAACUGAUGUUUGCAUUAGACUCUGGGGAACAAGGUGCUGAUUCUGAACCGACUCCAGGAGAGUUUAUGAGAACUUGUAAGGAGUUUUUGCAGCCACACUGGACAACUGUAGAAAUGCAAGCACACCCUGAACAAAAUGCAUCAGCGGAAGAAGCAAAUCGGCAAAUCAAAGAGGAAGAAGUGGAACUAGAAACUCACACAUCAGCCCUCAGCUCCUUUGAUGUACCUAAUGAGGAGGGUUAUGCAAGGCUGAACAGGGAGGCAAACUACCCAGACCAGCUGUUUGGUGCUGAAGGCCAGAAAUCAGGUGCUGGUUGGCUUCAAGUGGAUCAGAAAGCUAAGCAGGAUCCGAACUUUAAUGUCCAUGCUGGUCUUCAUCAAAACCCCCACCCGGGUUACUCCAGCCUGCCUUUGGUAAAGAAAUCUGGCUGCAGUGAGAGCCACCAGGAUUCAUUUAACCAUCUCACAUCUACCAAGUACAGCACCGUGUCCUAUCGCAGGAUCCGCAGAGGCAACACCCGUCAGAAGAUAGAUGAGUUUGAGUACAUGAUAAUUAAUCACUAAGAAUCAGGUUUCAAUGUCCAUCUAAUGAAACUGUAACAAAAAAACCCCCCAAAACAAAACAAAACAAAUGCAACAUGUGUGCUUUACAGUUUACACAGAAAUAUCCAAUGUAACACCCCAUUAUGUGCAAACCUUACAUGCAUACAUAACAGUCACAGUUAAGGUACUUGGCUCGAUAUAGUGAAAACAUCUCAUAUUUGUAAAGUAAACAAUUGAUUUAUGUUGUUACUAUUGGCUAUUAAGAUUUUUGGCAUGAGAACUCUGGUGUUAAAAGUUUUAAAUUCCUCAGAAGUAACCUCAGUACAUAACUAUUAAAAAGAAAUUCAAAUGGCAGAUGGAGGGAAGUAACAAAAUAUAUACCGUUCUAGAUUCAUCAACUUGUUAUUAUUUUCACCUAUUUUCACCAAAAAUGCAUUUUCAUUCAUGUCUUUUUCUUGAAAUGUUUGUGAUCAUGUAAUAAACUCAUGAAAUCAGAGCACAGGUUUAUUGAGUGUUUUGAAGCAACACUUCCCUCUAGUGACAAAAACAAAAUCAACCAAAGUUUUCACAGCAAAACCUACACAUAAAAACCCCACAAAAGCAGCUUUUUUUCCCCAAAUGACCGCUCAAAGGACACAUUUCAUCACGAGAUAUUAAAAAAAAAAUUAUAUGUUUUAUACAAACAGCUUCAUGCAAUUUAACUCGUUAUUUAGUCCCAGGAAUGAUGAAUCUAUAAGGCACUGUUUAACUUUCGAUCUUUGUAAAUGUUUUACUAAAGAACUGAAGAGUUAAACCAAAGAUAUCCAUCUGAAUCUCACUUCUCACUUUUCCCCAGGUGCCAGUACAGAGGAUAUUACUUUUUAAAUUACUAAGUCCCAGUCCUUUGGCACAAAAUCCCACAUCAUUCACUUAAAAAAAAAAAAAAAAAAAAAAAAGAAAUCACACUCAUUAAUGCCCCCAAAACACUUCUUUUGUACCCUGGAAAGUCCUGAUUUGAGGCUGGACCACAGACCGUGCUGUAGCAUGAGGCCACUGAAGGUUUUUUGUAGUGCACUUUUAUCACAUAGAACUCAUUUCAGUCUCAUCCACUACACAAGGUAGUUCGUGAACUGCCACUUCUGGAACAUAUUGCUGGGUCCACAAGGACUGAGACGAAGAUCGUCACUCCCAGGUCCUGCUUCCAGGCACAUAUGGUUGGAAACAAACUCUGCUAUGAGGUGCUCCGCC
ensembl:lncRNA